rnacentral:rRNA from 1 species
AACGAACGCUGGCGGCAGGCCUAACACAUGCAAGUCGAACGUGAAGCCACCUUCGGGUGGUGGAAAGUGGCAGACGGGUGAGUAACGCGUGGGAACGUGCCUUUCGGUUCGGGAUAACCCAGGGAAACUUGGGCUAAUACCGGAUACGCCCUUCGGGGGAAAGAUUCAUUGCCGAAAGAUCGGCCCGCGUCGGAUUAGCUAGUUGGUGGGGUAAAAGCCUACCAAGGCGACGAUCCGUAGCUGGUCUGAGAGGAUGACCAGCCACACUGGGACUGAUACACGGCCCAGACUCCUACGGGAGGCAGCAGUGGGGAAUAUUGGACAAUGGGCGCAAGCCUGAUCCAGCCACGCCGCGUGGGUGAAGAAGGCCUUAGGGUUGUAAACCCCUUUCAGCGGGGAAGAUAAUGACGGUACCCGCAGAAGAAGUCCCGGCUAACUCCGUGCCAGCCGCCGCUGUAAGAC